GGUGCCCGACGAAUCUUCGGCCCCGCCUCCCCUCCCUCUUUCGUCCGCUCCCGCUCGCAGCACGACUCACGCGAUCUCGCCUCGAGCUCAAUCCCAAACCCUAGCCAUGACGGGGAUCCGUGCCCCUGCGCCGUCGCCGGUUCCGAAGACGGCGCCUCCUCCGGAGAGCAAGUGGGUGCACGAGGGGGGGCGGCGUUUCCGAUCGACUGGAGACGGAGAGAACGAAGGGGGAAGAGGAGGCCAAGCAACCGCGCGGGGCUGGCAUAGCAGAAGCAGUAUGUAGGGAUCCCCUUGCUGAUGGGAGUACCCAACCUAGAUUUCAGCUAUCACCAGACAAGACCUCUCCUCACGAUCACAUUCAACAUAGGAAGGCUCAGGCAGAUGAUUCACCCUCGUUGGCUGCUAAGCAAGUGGAAGUACAUGUCCGUAAUAAGGUAACCCACCAUGAUAUCCCUGAAGGUGAGAUUUCAAAAAGAUCAUAUGUAGGACUUCCGAAAGAAAGCAAAUAAAAGUCGAAAGAUCAAUGACUAUGGAGAUCAGCAAUCAGGUAACCAAGCAUGAUAUCCCCGAAGGUGAGAUUUCAAAAAGAUCAUAUGUAGGACUUCCUGAAAACAAGCAAAUAAAGGUUGAAAGAUCAAUAAGCAUGGAGAUCAGCAACCAGGAGCAAGAAGGCUAUGGAAAAUAUUGGUUUGAUUUCAGUAUGGAAAAUAGUGACGGUUUGAUUUGUCAAGGCACUUGGCUUAAGUAAAUCAAUGGAAGUGUUCAUGCUUUGGCCUAUAGCAUUAUUACUCACUGUGAGAAGGAUAGCUGAAAAGAAUUUGUUGAUAUGAGCUACCCCUAAGUUUGAGAAACAAGAUAUGUUAGUCAGUUGUGCUGUUAAUCACAUUAUUGUUCUUUUUGAAAAGUGUGGUGGUGGAUAGUCGUCAUGGUGUGAGCUUUUUGGGAAUUGUGGUGGCGGAGUCUUCAUGCUGUGGGUGCUUAGUAUGAGAAACAAGAUAUGUUAGUCAGUUGCGCCGUUAAUCACAUCAUUGCUCCUUUUGGAAAACGUCGUGGUGGAUAGUCUUCGUGUUGUGGACCAGUGUCUUCAAGAAAGUUCUUUAGUGAUUAUGAGAAGGCAAUGGUUUACUUGACAUAAGCCGAGGAAACAAGAUAUGACAAUCGCACUACUAUGUUAUUGUUCAAAAGUAUGAUGACAUUUCUUACAAGGAGUUGGAAAAAGCUAUUAUGCUUUAUGAUGCAGUGUUUGGCAGAAAAUCUGGGAAUUAAGUAUUGUACAGCAACUGUUGUUCGAUCGGAUUUACAGGACAAUGAGUAUCUUCUGCGGUUAAUCAGUGAUCAAGAAAAAGUCGGUGCUAUAACUACGAGAGAGAACGUGUGACAUUCCUGAAUUAUGUGUAAUAUUUAAUUGGCAUAUUGUAUCUACUAUCUUUGACAGUUUGGCCCCAAAUCUUUAUAGGCCAACAAUACCUUCGAGAGCUCCGCUGCUGAUGAGAUUAUGGAGCCUCAAAUGGCUGACCAUUUUGAUUUCAUGGACAAUCCUGAUCUAGAUCAAGCAACUGAUGCAUCAAGUGAACUAGCAGAUGAUCCCCCAAUUCAUGAGAUUAUGGAGCCUCAAAUGGCUGACCAUUUUGAUUUCAUGGACAAUCCUGAUCUAGAUCAAGCAACUGAUGCAUCAAGUGAACUAGCAGAUGAUCCCCCAAUUCAGCUGUUAGGACGAAUUACAACAGUGAAGGAAUUGCUUGCAACCAGGCUUUUUGAAAAUGAGGAGAUCGUAUAUACUCAGAAAUCGGGAGAAAGGAAACAAUUGACAGGCAGAAUUGAUGGUGCAUUUUAUCGCUGCUCUUGUCACAAUGAGGUAACUCUGAGAAGCACAACAACUGUUAUUUGUGAAAUAGCCUGCUGCCCAGGUGUAGCUGCUCACCUAGCCACCUAGGACCUACCAUAUCUUUGAUUGCUUGAGAUAUGUGCUACCCUUACAGUUUCUGAUAUUUCCUUUUCAUGCAUAGUUAGCAUGUAGCCAGUAUGUGCUACCCUUACAGUUUCUGAUAUGGUAUGAUAUUUCCUUUUUCACAUACAUCAGUUGAUACAGAAUGAUAUAUUGGGUGAUAUGACCGAUGAUAGCCUGAUAUUAUGUUUGAUUUGGUAUGUACGUAACAUGUAUUAUCUAAACAUGUAUGUUUAUUAAAAUAUUAAAGCAAUGCAUAUUAUUGGUUAUGACACAUACUCCCUCCGUUCCAAAAUAGAUGACCCAACUUUGUAACUUUGUACUAACUUUAGUACAAAGUUGGGUCAUCUAUUUUGGAACGGAGGGAGUACAUAUUGUACUUUCUGAUGUUGCAUUAAGAAUAUAGUGAGUAUUUAUGAAUCUCUUAAUCAAACGAUCAAAAACUUUCUUAUGUUAUGUUUGAGUUUUUUAUUAUCCAUUUUAUUUGUGAUAGGCAGACAUUAUAUGAAUAAGAUUUGCUAAGAAAAUGAUCAUUUCCCUCUAUUCAAGUACACAUGGUUUGAUAUCACCCAAUUUUUGGUAUUGGAUUUUUUCUGAAGCCAAACUGAUGGACCCAAUGUCCGAUAUUCCAAAUCUUGGUUUUGUAAAAUCUACUUCCUCCAUUUCAAAAUAGAUGACUCAACUUUGUACUAAUUUUAGUACAAAGUUAGUACAAAGUUGGGUCAUCUAUUUUGAAACAGAGGGAGUACUUUUUAUCCUGCAAAAUACGUUACCUACGCUAUUACUUAUUGAAGGUCAUGUCCGCGUCAAAGUUUGAGAAACAUGCGGGCUGUACCUCUCAUAACCAAAAUGAUCGUAUCAUGUUGUGGGGUGAGCGAUCGCUGCAUGCCAUCGUUGCCUAUCUCAAAUCUCUUGGUUCAGCUGAAGAACAACUUGCAGCAAUAUUGGUAAUGAAGAAAAAGAAUGAAGACAGGAAGGCCUCACGAGACCAAGGUUAGGUGAUUGUUCUGUAGCCCGGUGCUCUUUGUAAG